UAUCCAUGGUGGGGACAUUGAUUGAGCAAAUCUUUCAACCUUUCCCAAGAUUGGUAAAGAUUAUCAUGUUCUUUUUGAGUAAAGGUAAACAUUUUUCUUAUAAGUUU